rnacentral:rRNA from 1 species
UACGGAGGGUGCAAGCGUUAUCCGGAUUCACUGGGUUUAAAGGGUGCGUAGGAGGGCAGGUAAGUCAGUGGUGAAAUCUCCAAGCUUAACUUGGAACUGCCGUUGAUACUAUCUGUCUUGAAUACCGUGGAGGUGAGCGGAAUAUGUCAUGUAGCGGUGAAAUGCUUAGAUAUGACAUAGAACACCAAUUGCGAAGGCAGCUCGCUACACGAAUAUUGACUCUGAGGCA